UGGAACUGGAACCGGAACUGGAACUGGAACUGGAACCGGAACCGGAACUGGUUCAGGCAACUGUCUGGACAGGAACCGCAACUGCAGGUCAUGGGCUUCUCUAGGAGAGUGUGGCUCCAAUCCUCGCUACAUGAACGUGUACUGUAGACAAAGUUGCAACAGAUGCUCAGGAGGCGGAGGAGCAGGUGGAUCCUGUGUGGAUGCAAACACCGACUGCAGGAGCUGGUCGAUGAUGGGGGGAGUGGGGACGGAACCCCGGCUACAUGUUGUCUUCGUGUAGACUCAGCUGCGGUCAGUGCUGACCAUGUCCGUGCAAUAAACCAAACAACAUGCA